rnacentral:misc_RNA from 1 species
AAGUCGUAACAAGGUUUCCGUAGGUGAACCUGCGGAAGGAUCAUUAUUGAACUGUUAACACGAGUUGUUGCUGGCCCUCAAACGGGGGCAUGUGCACACUCUGUUUACAAAUCCACUCACACCUGUGCACCCUCAGUAGUUCUAUGGUAUGGAGGACACUGUCCUCUGACCGUGGUUCUAUGUCUUUACACACACACACAGUGACAAAGUCUAAUGGGAUGUAUGUGGCGUUUAACGCAGUAUAAUACAACUUUCAGCAACGGAUCUCUUGGCUCUC